UGGUGGACCAGCACAAGGGUCAGAUGCCCGCCAGUGAUCCAAUCAGCUGUUGACCCAGGAGGAGCGAGGUUAUUGAUAUAAACGGCUAAGACUGUACAGAGACGUGGACUCUCAGAGAAGAAGGCAUGAACUAAAGAAGCAUUUGAAAAUGUGUUCAUGACAAGCAGAUUGCCUCACAUGAUCACUUCACUUAGUUAAAAGAUUUUCUCAUCACUCAUUGUGCUUCAAGAACUGUGAGGAGUCUGAGAUUUAUUUGCAGACUAACAAAUUAGCCUACCACGACUUCAUGGAUGCUGGCAGAAGACAUGAAAUUCCUGGGACAUUACUCAUAGCAGAGCAAGGAGCAUGAGCCUCAUGUUUGCAUCAGUUGUCCUUGCUCCAGGAGUCCACUGCUGGGGGGAUGCAAAGAUGCCCAGGUUUUCUGUUGUUGGGGUAGUGCAUCGUCCCUUAUUCUUUACCUUCAACCCUGCCGCACCCCUUAAAUGGACCCUUUAUUGGACUCUUCUCAAGGAGUGUACUUCCUGGACUGAUGGGCCAGACUUCUUCCCUUAAAUAAUUUUCUUUUGGAUAAAACGCUGUAUCAGGGAAUACCCUGGAAUUGAGUGAUGCCAUCACACAGAUAUUUUCCCCUUUGAUCAAUCUAAGAACCCUCGGAUGUUCACUUAGUCAGAAGGAUCUGUGAUUUGGUUCUGAUCACCUUCCAGAAAGGAAACUGUUUGGCGUUGGGGGUAUGAGCUAUUCUUACAACUCUAGAAUGUUUAUGCAAAGGAAGAAUGAUUCAGUCUGCCUGCAGUCAUUGUGCUAAGAUGAAUAAAUCCUUUCCUACUUUUGUUUUUCAAGUUCCUCUACUUUCGCUUUUUCCUCCGUGGCCGCUUCCUAUCUCAAAUGGAGAAAAUAACAGUACAGUAGAAGACAAUUCUUUUCAGUUACCAAGGCAAAUGUUUUUAAAUUCCCCUCUCCAGCAUGGAAGCUCCUUGAUCUUGGCACCGAUCAAGCAUUAAAUAAGAGCUUGAAGAAAAUUGUAUAAUUCCUGGAGGCUUAUGAAUAAACAUUCAAUGAACAGUAAAAUGGAAAGCCCCGAUUUUAGAAAGUGAGUGCGUCUUGCUCUGUUCAAAUGUUUGCUUUAAAAGCACUUAAGAAGUUCCUGCAGAAUCUCUUGCUCUCUUUUUCUAACAAAUCCUCCUUGCUCCUCCUCCAUGAAAGGUUGACGUUACCACAGGAGUUCAAAUAAAAUGGCGUGGUGCAAGUCCACACAGGCCAAAUGCCUCUAAGUUCUUUUUGUGGUCGUUAGUGGGUGGAAUAUAUAUCCAGUUUUCUUAACACAAAGAAUUCUAAGUACUUUCAAUAUUUUAGUGUAAGAAUCAAGGUAGUCACACACCUUCUCAUCCUGGAACAUUUUUAUUCUC